rnacentral:rRNA from 1 species
ACGCUCGACACCUACCGGAGGCAGCAGUGGGGAAUAUUGCACAAUGGGGGAAACCCUGAUGCAGCGAUGCCGCGUGAAGGAAGAAGUAUCUCGGUAUGUAAACUUCUAUCAGCAGGGAAGAAAAUGACGGUACCUGACUAAGAAGCCCCGGCUAACUACGUGCCAGNCGCGAGUAUNGCGGCGNGNGAGAG